UACAGAGGGUGCUAGCGUUGUUAGGAAUUAUUGGGCGUAAAGCGCGUGUAGGCGGCCAUGCAAGUUGGGUGUGAAAGCCCUCGGCUUAACCGAGGAAGUGCGCCCAAAACUACAAGGCUUGAGUACCGGAGAGGGUGGCGGAAUUCCCGGUGUAGAGGUGAAAUUCGUAGAUAUCGGGAGGAACACCAGUGGCGAAGGCGGCCACCUGGACGGCUACUGACGCUGAGACGCGAAAGCGUGGGGAGCAAACAGG
rnacentral:rRNA from 1 species